rnacentral:rRNA from 1 species
CUGCUGCCUUCCGUAGGAGUUUGGGCCGUGUCUCAGUCCCAAUGUGGCCGUCCACCCUCUCAGGCCGGCUACUGAUCGUCGCUUUGGUAGGCCGUUACCCUGCCAACUGGCUAAUCAGACGCGGGCCCAUCUUAUACCACCGGAGUUUUUCACCCUGGGCCAUGCGGCCCUGGGCGCUUAUGCGGUCUUAGCACCUAUUUCUAAGUGUUAUCCCCCUGUAUAAGGCAGGUUACCCACGCGUUACUCACCCGUCCGCCACUAAAGUAAAAAUU